rnacentral:rRNA from 1 species
CGGGUGAGUAAUGUAUGGGGAUCUGCCUGAUGGCGGGGGAUAACUACUGGAAACGGUAGCUAUACCGCAUAAUGUCUGCGGACCAAAGCGGGGGACCUCCGGGCCUCGCGCCAUCAGAUGAACCCAUAUGGGAUUAGCUUGUAGGUAAGGUAACGGCUUACCUAGGCGACGAUCCCUAGCUGGUCUGAGAGGAUGAUCAGCCACACUGGGACUGAGACACGGCCCAG